CACCCGUAACCCAGAGGAUGGAAGCUAGGAUGCUUGAUGUUGAAUGGAGUGCUCCGUUGAGCGCGCCACUUAUAAUAAUAAACCGAUCCUUUCUCCACAAGAGAUGUUUUCUUCUUUGAGCUAGUGGAAAAGUUCUCAGUAUGAUGCAGGAGGAGGCGAGUACUGUGUUGUUAACUAAUCCGUUGAACAAGUCAGCUAAGCAUGGUGUAAGUCAGCACCAACCUGCCAGGACAUUGCCUGGCAGAUAGUAGGUUUCAAUUAUCAAUCUCUUUACGUCCGCGUAAAGGUCAGUGAGCAGUCGUUGAAGCAGAAUUCCAUAUAUAAUAGAGAUUUAUGAAAAUUUUACAGAUAUACAAAGCGAUAGAGAUACCUAUAUUCUAGAUAUCCAAAGGGAAAUAAAUCUAUGUUAUAGAGG
rnacentral:sRNA from 1 species